GGGAAACGGGCAGGCGGCGGCGACCGCCGAAACAACCGCA
rfam:Cucurbit aphid-borne yellows virus genomic RNA